AUUGAACGCUGGCGGCAGGCCUAACACAUGCAAGUCGAGCGGAUGAAGGGAGCUUGCUCCUGGAUUCAGCGGCGGACGGGUGAGUAAUGCCUAGGAAUCUGCCUGGUAGUGGGGGAUAACGUCCGGAAACGGGCGCUAAUACCGCAUACGUCCUGAGGGAGAAAGUGGGGAUCUUCGGACCUCACGCUAUCAGAUGAGCCUAGGUCGGAUUAGCUAGUUGGUGGGGUAAAGGCCUACCAAGGCGACGAUCCGUAACUGGUCUGAGAGGAUGAUCAGUCACACUGGAACUGAGACACGGUCCAGACUCCUACGGGAGGCAGCAGUGGGGAAUAUUGGACAAUGGGCGAAAGCCUGAUCCAGCCAUGCCGCGUGUGUGAAGAAGGUCUUCGGAUUGUAAAGCACUUUAAGUUGGGAGGAGGGGCAGUAAGUUAAUACCUUGCUGUUUUGACGUUACCAACAGAAUAAGCACCGGCUAACUUCGUG
rnacentral:rRNA from 1 species